rnacentral:pre_miRNA from 1 species
UUUAACACUUCUCCUCAAACUCAACUUAGAAGAACCAAACAAAUAGUUCUUCAAUCGUCAAGUAUCCAUGCCUGACUACCAAACAUUAGAACACCAGGAAUUGAGCCUGACAUCAUCUCGUAUAAACUAUCUUCUAAUGAGCUCCCCGCAAAAUAGAAUUGGAUCAAACAAAAUUCUCAAGUGAUAAACGAUUUGCUGUAAAUGGUUACCACAUGCAUGAUAAUUAAUUCCUGCUAAAAAAUUAAGGACUCAAGAAAAGAAAUAAGGCCAUAAGAAAGUCGAGAGUAAGGCAGGUAUUAGAAGUUGAAUACUCUUGACUUUCUUAUAUCCUUGGGUCUUUUCUUGGAUCUUUUUUCUUUUUUUGUACACUUUUCUAUUAUAUUUCAUGUGUUAAUUAUAUGCACCAAAUCUUUUCUUGAGGAUUUUGUUUGAUCCAUUUCUAUUUGGGGUUAGCUUGUUGGAGAUAGCUUAUAUUUAAUGGAAUCUGACUCAAUCCUAAUAUUUGGUACUGUAAGGCAUGGAUAUUUGAGGACUGAAGAAUUAGUAGUUUGGUUUUUCUAUGAUGAGUUUGAGGGUGACUGUUGAA